rnacentral:misc_RNA from 1 species
CAUCUCCAAGAACAAGGCCCAUUUGAGUGUAAAUACCAACAACGUACUCUAUUCAUACUUUCCUCAGGAUGUGGUAUGGGCUGGAAUCAAAAGGUUCUGUCAUCCAUGGUUCCUUGCUCUUAAUAUGAUGAUUCUCUUCACUUGAGUGGAAGAAUGGAGUUGGUGGAUUCUUUUACUAGAGGGGAAAGACUUUCGGGUGAUCAUUGUGAUCGUUGUAAAUGGCCGGUGAGUCGCCAUGUAUGUUACCGUCAUGUAGUAAUCCCGUAAAUU